GACGAACGCUGGCGGCGUGCUUAACACAUGCAAGUCGAACGGAAAGGCCCUGCUUUUGUGGGGUGCUCGAGUGGCGAACGGGUGAGUAACACGUGAGUAACCUGCCCUUGACUUUGGGAUAACUUCAGGAAACUGGGGCUAAUACCGGAUAGGAGCUCCUGCUGCAUGGUGGGGGUUGGAAAGUUUCGGCGGUUGGGGAUGGACUCGCGGCUUAUCAGCUUGUUGGUGGGGUAGUGGCUUACCAAGGCUUUGACGGGUAGCCGGCCUGAGAGGGUGACCGGCCACAUUGGGACUGAGAUACGGCCCAGACGCCUACGGGAGGCAGCAGUGGGGAAUAUUGCACAAUGGGCGGAAGCCUGAUGCAGCAACGCCGCGUGCGGGAUGACGGCCUUCGGGUUGGAAACCGCUUUCGCCUGUGACGAAGCGUGAGUGACGGUAAUGGGGAAAGAAACACCGGCUAACUACGU
rnacentral:rRNA from 1 species